GUUAAAAUUUCAAAAUUCGUGCAGGUUGAAUAGAUUUAAUAAUUUUUCAGAUUGAAUAAUUAACUCAGAAAAAAGGCAUUCUGUCCAACUUUGCAAGAAACUUCGAUAAGAUGAUUAAAAACAUCAAAUAUGGAGAGCAUGAGUUUGAAGUAAGACAUGACAACCGCACCAGAACUAAAUUAGAGAGAAGGAUCUGGCCAUGGUCCUAACACAGGAGUCCAGAAUACUACAGCAUUACAGAAAAUAGAGGCCAGAGCUCACCAUCACUGCUGCUUGCAGUGUGUUCUGCAAAGUCAAAGGUCUGCCAUCCAACACCAACAUCCCCUGCCAUUUCUGCACUGUUGCAUGUGGAUACUGUCUUCAUCCUUUGACAAUAGUGGGUUCAGUGGGUAUCUUGCACCAGGGAUAACCAGGCUGCGUUCAUCCUGAUGACUCAGCAGACACCACAAGCAGAAGACAACUGACUUCUUCCUCCAAUACCAAAAGAAAUACAAGACCCUCACACCAAAAAUCAGCAGACUUACACCAACUUCAAGAAAGAUUAUACUAUCUCCCCCUCUUGUGGAUGUAGAGGUAAGAAUUCUGCAGCAAAGUUCAACAGAAGAAGGUCUACGAGCAAGGAAAAGAACGGGUGAUUAAACUCAACAGUUUACAGUGA